CUAUCUGCAGUAAGUUUAAUGUAUAUUUUACAGCGACUAUAAAUAUUGUGUGAUACAUUUUUACGAAAAGUAUUACAAGCGUGACAGGGAAUAAAAUUUAAAAUUUAUUCUACAAGAAAUAAGAAUGGUUUCAUGCGAUUUCAGCGGACACAAAAAGGUUCUAUAGAAAAAUUGAGCAUCACCAUCACACAUAUAUACCAUAGAUAACAACAUCCGUAAAAUUUAAGGCGGGAAAUAAAACACCAACAAAUCUUUUUAGUUCAUUUCAUUUUAUCAGAGUAACAUAUUUCGCGAGGCUGAACAAAAGCUGAUUCUAAAAACUAAAAAGAUAUGGACGAAAGAACGAAUAUAAGUAACGUUAAACAACUGUUGAAAUGCGAACGACAUUUACGAGUAUCUCCGUAUGGACGAAAGGUGCUGGCUACUAUGCUGAAAUUAAAGAACGAACGAAAAAUUAACAAUGGUCCCAAGCAUAAUGUAAAUGUACCAAGGCAGUUUGGACGUCAAAACGAAAGAGUAUUGAGUUAUAAUACCUAUGAAACUCCAAAAACUUGUCCAAUUAUUAAUGACGGUGCUAACGAAACCAGAUUUUAUAACAUCACGAACCAAAACAAUAACAAUUCUAUACCAGUGCCUUCAUCGAACUCUCUGUUACAAUCACCUUAUGAUAACAUACGCGGAAUACCUGAUAUUGUUUGUACAUCAGAUGUUCCUUAUUUUGAUUUCAAUUCACAAAAUAUCCAACAACAUACAGUAGUUAAAGAAUCUAUAGCCUAUGAAGUAGUGGAUAACAAAUCUGACGAUAUAUCCUGGAAUAACAUGUUCGAUGCCGAUAUGUUUGAUUGUCUCGACAAACCAGAUUAUAUUGACAAGCGCAAAGAAACAUUAAAUAAGGAAAAUCUUUUAGAAGUAGUUGAUACUAUUGCAAAAGGUAAACUUGAACAUAUGAAUAAUAAUACAACAAUGACUGAGAAAGCAACGUGCAAGGCAAAAAAUGGUAAAUCUCAAAACGAAAAAGUGAAAUCGAACGUUUCUAAGAAAGCUAACGAUAAAGUUUCCUAUCGUAAAGAAAAAUACACAACCACUAUUAAAAAUUGGUUGGAUGAUGUUGAUGCAGCGAAUACAGUGAACGAAGAGUGCGUUGAAAGUGUUCAAAUCCCACAAAACAGUAACGUCAAAACGAAUUUUAAUGAUGAAGAAUUGAAGAAUCAUCCUUUAGAAACAACCAAAAUAAUAAAAAAAGAAAAUAAGAAUAAACGAAGUAUACAAGCACAACUUGCUAAUAAAGAUGGAGUCAUGAAAUAUAAGAAACCUAAGAUCCACGACAGUGACGGAAAGAGCACCGAGAACGAUCUAAUUAGCAAUAUGGAUGAUGCUCCUGCAGUCGUUCAACCAAUAGAAGAACCCGUCGCUAAAAUAGAUAACAAAAAAAAGAAACCUAAUGUGAUUAAGCCAAUAAAAGAGUCCACUACUAAAUUAGUUAAAGAUAAAAAACCUAAAUUUGUAGCGCCGAUAAAAUCACUGAUACCAGUAAAAGAAAUAUCUUACAAAGUGGUUAUAAUUAAUAGUCUCAUGGAUGUCAGCGCAGUUUCGAGGGAACUAGAAUUGAUCGAUGAAGACGAAUGUGUAAUUACAUUGGUUUAUAGCAAUGGCUUCAAUCAGCUGAAUAGUCAACAUACGGACGACACUUGUUCCCCGGAAGGAAUGAUGCUCUGUUUGCAAGAUACUUUCUUCUACAUAGAAGAUUUUGUAGACGGUAUUACCAAGGCUUUGGGCCGAAUACUUUCAAGCAGCACGUUAAUAAGCUUUGAUGCAAAAAGUAUUCUGGUGUAUUUAGCGAGCCAGUACAACUACGUACCAGAAAACUUGAAAAUCGUCGACGCCAAGAUCGGCUGUAGCCUGAUAAACCCCGACGAGCCGCCGGAGUGUUUCUCUGAAGCACAGAAGCUUCUGGGCCACAGCGCCGAGUAUACCGUCGCCACAGAAUGCGCUCUGCAGAAGGCCGCCUGGUACAUGACACUUCUGAGGGAGUGCUCGACCAAAUUAAAGAAUAUACUACUAGAUCGCAGUCUUUGGACGGUCUUCACUGAUAUUGAAAUGAAAAUUGUACCUGUGAUUGCAGGCAUGGAACACCACGGUAUAUCCGUGGACGAGACGCAGUUGAAGCGGAUGGAGGACCUGCUGCUGACGCGCAUGCAGCGCACCGAGCGGCGCUGUCACGCGGCGGCCGGCAGGCAGUUCAACGUCAACUCGGCGGCGCAGGUGCGGGCGCUGCUGUACGACGAGCUGCGGCUCGACAGCGCCGCCAACCUCAAGAUACGGGAGACGAUCGGCAAGGGCGCCAAGUCUACUUCAGAAGCAAUGUUGCGUCCGCUAAUCGACGCGCACCCGCUGCCGAGGCUGAUCCUGGAGUACCGCCACCUGCACAAGGCGCACGCCACCUUCCUCGCGGGCAUCGCGCAGCACGUCCGCGACCACGUCGUCAAACCUACCUGGGAGCAGUCGGCGGCCGCCACGGGCCGCAUCGCCUCCAACAACCCCAACGUGCAGGCCAUACCGAAGACGCCGUUUAACCUGGAACUGUUCCCCGACCGUGACCAUGCAGACGCUGCGCCGCCGGCGGUGCGGUUCCGCUCGGUGUACGUGGCGCGCGCGGGCUGCGCGCUGCUGGCGGCGGACUUCCGGCACGUGGAGUGCCGCGUGUUCGCGCGGGCGGCGGGGGACGCGGCGCUGCAGGCCGCGCUGGCCGGCGCCGACCUGUUCCGCGAGCUGGCGGCGCGCUGGCGCGGCGAGCCGCCCGCCGCCGUGUCGGCGCAGGACCGCGAGCGCACCAAGCGCCUCGUGUACGCCAGCCUGUACGGCGCCGGCACCAGGAAGCUCGCGGAGAUCCUGCAGCUCGACUACGACCAAGUGCUCUCCAUCGUGUCCAGCUUCAACAGAACAUUCCCCGCGCUGAAGAGCUUCGGGCGCGCGGUGGUGGCGCGCUGCGCGGCGCAGGCCGGCCGCCUCGCCACCGCCGCCGGCCGCGCGCGCUCCUUCGCCGACAUCGCCAGCGCCGACAGCGCGCGCAGGGCGCACGCCGAGCGGCAGGCCGUCAACUUUGUGGUGCAAGGCACCGCAGCAGACCUGUGCAAGAUGGCGAUGAUCCGGUGCUCGGAGGUGUUGCGUCGGGAGGGCGUGGAGGCGCGCCUGCUGCUGCAGAUACACGACGAGCUGGUGUGGGAGGUGCCGCUGCCGCUGCUGCACACUGCGGCCGGUGACACACGCUGCACUCUCUUGCACUAGGCGCGGCCGCUGCAGACACACGACGAGCUGGUGUGGGAGGUGCCGCUGCCGCUGCUGCACACUGCGGCCGGUGACACACGCUGCACUCUCUUGCACUAGGCGCGGCCGCUGCAGACACACGACGAGCUGGUGUGGGAGGUGCCGCUGCCGCUGCUGCACACUGCGGCCGGUGACACACGCUGCACUCUCUUGCACUAGGCGCGGCCGCUGCAGACACACGACGAGCUGGUGUGGGAGGUGCCGCUGGCGCUGCUGCACACUGCGGCCGGUGACACACGCUGCACUCUCUUGCACUAGGCGCGGCCGCUGCAGACACACGACGAGCUGGUGUGGGAGGUGCCGCUGCCGCUGCUGCACACUGCGGCCGGUGACACACGCUGCACUCUCUUGCACUAGGCGCGGCCGCUGCAGACACACGACGAGCUGGUGUGGGAGGUGCCGCUGCCGCUGCUGCACACUGCGGCCGGUGACACACGCUGCACUCUCUUGCACUAGGCGCGGCCGCUGCAGACACACGACGAGCUGGUGUGGGAGGUGCCGCUGCCGCUGCUGCACACUGCGGCCGUGCUCAUCAAGCGUGCGAUGGAGAGCUGCGGCCAAGCGUGGGGGCUGCCGGCGCUGCCCGUCGCGCUGUACCGCGGCCACAACUGGGGGGAGAUGGAGGACUUCCCGCUGCACUAGCGGCGCUGCAUCUUGUUCCGAAC